AUCUCUCCCUCUCUCUCUGUUCCUCCCCCGCUUGUGUGCUCUGUUUCUCUCUCUCUCAAAAUAAAUAAAUCAACUUUAAAAAAAAAGGAAUUCUCCCUUGACUACUUCUCUCAUGAGAUUCUUCAGCCCUUUUCCAGGGACAUCCAGCACCCAGACCAAUUGUGUUUUGUGAUUGGAAUAGAUUGGCUUCCUGCAGAAGUACACAUGAAACACACAUGUUCAUGUCUUCCCUUAUCAUUUCUCUACCAAAAUAAAAUGCAUUAUCCCAACAACCAAAGUAUAUUGUUACUUUUGAUCAUUGAUAGGUAUUUUCAGAGAAAGUUGUUAUGAAAUACAAGCAUCUAGGCACAACUUGAUUUUUCUCUCAUUUUCUAAAAUUUUGCUUAGAUUAUGAAAAAAAGUUUAUUGAUUCGUUAUCUAUAACUUUUGCUAUUUUCAAUGGGUCCUAGAAUUUUGUGUUUGUAUAUGUACUAUAUAACCAUGAAUUCAUAUGUAAGCUCUAAGUCUCCUGGUAUUUCAAUCUGUUUUUCAGGUUUGUUUCUAUACCUAGAAAUGGUCUACAAAGCUCUUGGAAAACAAUCAGUGUUUUUACAUGACCCCAACACAUGCCAAAACAGUAGUUACUCAAUGCCUAAGUACAUACGGCAAAGCCAGCAAACAGACUUAUAAAUAAGGGACAUAAAUUUAAGCAUCAUUUCUGUUUACAACUGGGUGAUGUUUUCAUUAUUACGUGGUAAGCAAACUAUCUGUAAGAGACUACAACUUUUUUUUUUUUAUGUAUUGUGUAGCCAGGAUAUCAGGAUAGCUUUCUACAGAAUUAUUCUCUGGAAAGUGGAGAACAACUUCAAGAGAGGAUCUGAACAAUAAGAACAUUUUAUGUUUUCAAGACACUGAAAAGCAGGCUGACAACUAAGGCUAAUUCUGAGAUUUUUGACAUCAGAGCCAUAGAAGAAAAAAUAACUGGGAGUGUUUGCAUUUAUCAUUAAGUUCUUACUUUAUUUUUCGUUCUUGUUGCUUCUGGCCACAUCAGACUUUUGGUAGAAAGUGUACCUUUUUUUAUUGUUCUUUGGAAAUAGAAACCUGAAAGAAGUAAUCAAGAAUAGACUAUGGCUGGCUGUGCUUCUCAAAACUCAACUGCUACUUGGCUCCUAGGGAACAUUAUUUCCCCAUUACAUGUUCAUUCAUGAGUCAUUAAUUCAAACUCAAAUAUAUGACUGUCAUUUUACAAGCUAUGCAAGGGAGAUAAUCCUUAAGUCACCGGGCUUGAGGCUUUCUUGUGUGCAUUUUAUCAGGCCAGUAGGUGCCCUUCUCUUUUGCACAUUUGCUUGGACACACUUCAUUCAUCAGAAGAUUCUGUGCCAUUUGCCACUUCCAAGUCCGAGUAUGUGACUGCAAGAAUUAGAGAGUUUUAUUCCUCCCUUCCUUCAGACUAGUGAAUGCCUAAUUUUAAACAAACUAUUUCUGCCAGUUUCUCGGUUUAAUCCCUGUUGCCGUGAUUAAGUAGUCCAAAACAUUCUUCAAUGACGUCUGAGGCUUUGGAAUUUAAAAGUAAAUUGCUUCGGGGAAAAACAAAUCAAACUUGCAUUUCAGACCUACAGAAAGUGCAUUAAAACAUAUUACGCUGCACUUUCUUGGUGGAAUAAAUUGAGAGUCACAGUAAUGUUUCUUCUAGCAAUGUCAGAUUCUGAGACACUUCGAUUAAUUUUGGCUUUAGAUUGAGUUUCUCUCCAACACUCCACUCUCUAUUUGAUGUGUCUACAUUUUUCAUUGUAUCCAAUGGCAAUUUAUGCCAUAAAUUAUUGGCUUUGGAUCCAAAAACUCAGAGUAGAAAGGUGAGGCAAUAUACUAAAAAGAGUGCAUGGAGAAGAUACGGAUUUGAUUUGAUUUCCCAUUACUGAUUUGCUAUGGGACACUGGGAACACUGUGCUACCUUAGCGGGCCUUCAUUUGUACCACCCUUCCUGUCCAUCUGUGAUGGUGUCAUGGCUGUUGUGUUACCUGUGAGGUAUCUUCUGGUGUGAGAUGGUGGGGUUGGUGGUAAGAAACACUCUAAACCCCUCCAGUGUCACCUAGGUACCUUGCAUGCCCUGUUUGA